UCCCCCUGCAAUGGACAAAGGGACAUCUUGGUGGUGGUGUUCUUCUAUCAGUCAGGGACAGAGCAGAUGGCGGUCCUUUGUUCAUCCUAGCUUGAUGACUGGCUUGGUGGCCAAAGCUGUUUUAUGCCUAAGACGCAUAA